AACUUUCAAAUUAUUCACUUCACUUUCAAACUGUUCUAGAUUUCCCAAAUUUGACAAAUCUGUAAGUUCCUCUUUUUCCUCCGGAAGAACCUACUUACUAGGAUUGUCAGCUUUCUGCUAAUUGUCAUAUUUCUAGUUCUGGAAAACCCAUGUUGUCUUGUCCCAUGUCUCAAUGAUAUUAUAGGAACGUUUAAUUAGUUUCAUGACUAUUGGGUUGGGAUGGGAUUGUUGGGCUUAGGCUGGCUUUCAGAUUUCCUGGCUAACAACAUUGUUUUUCCAUAUAGUUCUGAGAGAAAUUCUAUGUAGAACUUGGUGACUGACAGAUAUUGAUAUCCUCUUCAACUCUACCAUGUUUUUAGUUUUCUGUAUAUUUCAUAAAAGUCUUAUGACUUCCAUACUUGUUAAGGGAUCUGAAUUUCAAUUCUUAGAUUUUCUAGAUUCAAAGGUAGCGUGUGAAACUUUUUAGGAGACUCCUAGAAUUAUUCUAAUUUCUUAAAAAGCAUAAAGAAUGGAGUUCUUCCUUGCUUCAUUACAUGAAACAGUGAAAUCAGAAGCUGAAAUUGUUCUAACGUCAAUAGUACCUUUAUUGAAACUCCUCUCUAUAACUGUCAUUGGUUUAGUUCUUGCUCACAAGAAAAUCCAAACUAUCCCAAAAGAGACUUUCAAGAUACUAAGUGAACUUGUUUUUGCUCUAUUUUUGCCCUGCCUGAUCUUCACCCACCUUGGUCCAUGCAUUAGUCUAAAAAAUUUCAUUCAUUGGUGGUUCAUCCCUGUAAAUGUUGUUCUCAGUACUGCAAUUGGUUGUGUGUUGGGGUUAUUGGUGGCUAUAAUUUGCAGGCCACCACCUGAAUACUUUCGAUUCACCAUCAUCAUGACUGCAUUUGGAAACACGGGGAAUAUCCCUCUUGCAAUUGUUUCAUCAGUUUGCCACAGUACUGAUAACCCAUUUGGCGAGGAAUGUUAUGCAGCUGGUGUGGCAUAUGUAUCCUUUUCUCAAUGGAUUUCUGUUAUUCUUGUAUACACUCUUGUUUAUCAUAUGAUGGAGCCCCCAUUGGAGUCUUAUGAGAUUGUUGAAGUUGAAGAAGGGGCCGCUGAGAUUGAGGAAGUACCUGCUGAUGAUCUCAGUAGGCCACUUCUUGUUGAAGCUGAAUGGCCAGGAAUUGAAGAUAAGGAAACAGAACAUUGCAAGACACCCUUUAUAGCAAGGCUUUUCAAUAGCAUCUCUGGCAUCUCACAAUCAACUAUUCAGGAUCUUGAUUCAGUGGAGGAAAGUCCAAGUAGUCCCAAGUCUAUUACGUGUUUGGCUGAGCCUAGGAUGGUUAGAAAAAUCAGAAUUGUAGCUGAGAAAACUCCAAUUCAUCACAUUCUUCAGCCACCAACAAUUGCUUCUCUGUUAGCUAUUAUUAUAGGACUUGUCCCUCAGCUCAAAUCUUUUGUUUUUAAUGAUGAUUCUAUUGUCUCUUUCAUCACAGACAGCUUAGAUUUUAUGGCUGAGGCAAUGGUGCCUUCAACUAUGCUUAUUCUGGGUGGAAUUCUAGCUGAGGGUCCCAAUGAAUCUAAUUUAGGGAUCCGAACUACAAUUGGAAUCAUUGUAGCAAGGCUUUUAGUACUUCCUUUGUUUGGAAUUGGGGUCAUCAUGUUGGCUGAUAAGUUAAAUUUUUUGGUCUAUGGGGAUCAAAUGUACCGGUUUGUGCUGUUGCUGCAAUACACAACGCCAAGUGCCAUUUUGUUGGGGGCAAUUGCAAGCUUGAGGGGUUAUGCAGUGAAGGAGGCAUCAGCACUCCUCUUCUGGCAGCAUGUGUUUGCUCUAUUCUCCCUUUCGUUGUAUAUAAUUCUGUACUUUAAUGUGCUGCUUUCUUAUGUCUAAGGUAUUGAUGUUAGAAGACUUCUUCCAUAAGAAGCAGACCAUGAAAGGAGGGAUGGCAUCAGGUUUAGACUUCAUCUUGAUGCCAAACUCAGGAUUUAAUGUCAAAAUCAAAGUUUGAGAGGGAAUUUGCAGCUUGAAAGUGGAUGGAUUAAUUGCAUUUUGUAUGUUAAUAGCAAUUUCCUAUUCUGAUUUGCAAGGACAUUCUCACAAAUUUAGAGGCUACUACGUCCCUCUUGGCAGAUAUGUACUGAGUAACCUACUUACAAUGAACAUAAAGCAUAAUAUUAAAUUUGUAUCAACAAAAAUGGUGUCCUCACACACUUUAUAUAUAAAAGAAACUGAGGAAACAUUUAUUUUUUAUAGUUAUAUUUUUUUCAGCUUCUUUGUAACAGAGAGACAGAACUAAUUAAACAUGCAAAAGGUUAAAUUUUAUUUGAAUAUUCAUGUUUUAUCAGUAAUUUUGUUGUGUCUAUUGCUAUGAAACAAAUUGGAGAGCUUGGAAAGGGUA